rnacentral:tRNA from 1 species
CCCUGGGUGGUGAAAACAGUUAACACACUUGGCUGCUAACCAAAAGGUUGAAGGUUCAAGUCCCCCCCAGCAG